GAACCUUACCUGGGCUCGAAAUGCUAUGGGCCGGGGUAGAAAUAUCCCUUCCCCGCAAGGGGCCGUAGUAUAGGUGCUGCAUGGCUGUCGUCAGCUCGUGUCGUGAGAUGUUGGGUUAAGUCCCGCAACGAGCGCAACCCUUACUUCCAGUUGCCAUCAUUUAGUUGGGCACUCUGGCAGAACCGCCUCGGAUAACGGGGAGGAAGGUGGGGAUGACGUCAAGUCCUCAUGGCCUUUAUGUCCAGGGCUACACACGUGCUACAAUGGUCGGUACAAACCGUCGCAAACCCGUGAGGGGGAGCUAAUCGGAAAAAGCCGACCUCAGUUCGGAUCGCAGUCUGCAACUCGACUGCGUGAAGCUGGAAUCGCUAGUAAUCGCGGAUCAGAAUGCCGCGGUGAAUACGUUCCCGGGCCUUGUCACACCGA
rnacentral:rRNA from 1 species